UGCAGCCGCGCCGCGUGAGUGUUGACGGCCCUAGGGUUGUAAACCUCUUUCAACAGGGAAGUAUAACUGACGGUACCUGUAGAAGAAGGUCCGGCUAACUCCGUGCCAGCAGCCGCGGUAAUACGUAGGGGGCUAGCGUUGUUCGGAUAUUACUGGGCGUAAAGCGCACGUAGCGGUUUGUUAAGUCAGGUGUGAAAUCUCAGGGCUUAACCUCGAAACUGACCCGAUACUGCUAUGACUAUGAGUUCGAGAGAGGUGAGUGGAAUUCCCAGUGUAGAGGUGAAAUUCCUAAAUUUUCGGAAGAACCCCCGUGGCGAAGGGGGCUCACUGGCUCCAUACUGACCCUUAAGUGCCAAAGCGUGGGGAGCAAACAGGAAUAAAUACCCUGGUAGUCCCCCCCGUAAACGAUGGAGGCUAGCCGUCGGGUUGCUUAUAACUUGGUGGCGCACUUAACUCAUUAAUCUUCCCCCCUGGGGAGUACGGUCGCAAGAUUAAAACUCAAAGGAAUUGACGGACG
rnacentral:rRNA from 1 species